rnacentral:rRNA from 1 species
GGGCGGGCGGCCUUGGUGAAAUCGGUCCUCACCUCACAAGUCGUCUACCACAUCACCCCGCUCACAGUCCCCCCUGGUGUGCUGAAAAGCAUCAAUAAGAUUGAGCGGGCAUUUUUGUGGUCAGCUAGCGACACAGCUACAAGAGCAAAAUGCAAGGUCAAUUGGGAGACAGUCUGCCGCCCUACAUAGCUCGGUGGGCUUGGCAUACUCCACUUAGGGAAAUUUGCGAGAGCUCUCAGACUGAGAUGGCCCUGGAUGGCAUGGAAGAACCCGUCUAAGUUGUGGGUUGGCCUG